UCUCUCUCUCUCUCUGAAAAGCAAAUGAACAUUAAAAAAAAAAAUUAAGGUGUUGCAUAUGAAACAUCGAAUGGCAUUGAUUCUUUAAGCAAUCAGUUAUUUCUGUCUAGAAGUUGGUACUGGUUUCUCUCCAUUCUUGGAGUUUAAGAAUUUUCCAGACUAGCUUUGGGGACAUUUUUGUCUCAUUCCUUCUGCUUGGAACUCUGUGAAUAGUUUCAGUUUGCACAUUCAGGUCUUUCUUAAUCUUGAGGACAUUUUCUUCUUCCAUUAGUUUAAUUAUUGCCUCUUCUCCAUCUGCUCCUUUUCUCUUCUCUAAAUCUUCUUUUACUCUCAUGUAAAUUCUUCCAGAUACAGCUGCCAACAAUCCAGUUUUUUUUCUCCUGAUUAUCUUGUCCUCGUUCGUUUGCUCUGUGUUUUAAGAUAUGACUUCCAGGUGAAUUUCCAGGUCACUAACAGUCUCACUAACACUACUGCCCUCCAAUUCAUUUGCUAGCAGUUUUAGUUCAAAAAGCAUGCAGAAAGUCUUUACAAAGCAUAAUUGACUACGUUGACAUACUUCUGCGUUGUGGUUCAAACUUUAAUCUUUCAUGUAGGGGCUUGUCCUGUGUGUUCUGCUGGGUUUUCCUCUCUCGGGCUCCUGGGUCUCCUCUGAACACUGGGGCUUCUGUCAUCUUCAAACGAUGCCACAGAACAGUGGUUCUCAAAGUGUGGUCCACAGAACCCUGCAGGUCCCCAAGACCCGUUCGGGGCACGUACAUGACCAAGCACUGUUGUAAUAAUCCUGCCGUGUUUUUGCCUUUCUCCUGCUGUUGACAUUUGCUCUGAUGACACAAAAGCGACGAGUCAAAGCAGUGUCACUAAUAUGCAUCAGCUGUCACUGCAUCCUUCACCAAUGAAGAAGUAAAGACUUGAGUAGCUUCUAAAGGUCUCAACAAGGGGCAAAGCCAGGCCCACAUCCAGCUCUCCAGCCCAGCACAACAGACACCAGAAAGCUCUGCCAUCUCCCUCUCCCCUUGGAAGCAGCGCUAAUUCUGGGGAGAAGGAAAAGAAGAUGAGAAUAAAAAUAGACAUAAAACAUACAGUACUUUGUACUAGAGGAGUGACUAAGGAAAGAAACACUCCCUUCUUCUCGGAUUGUCUCUGCCUGGAAUGCCGUCCAGCACCUAAUGUGCUACUUUGGCAACCAGAGAAAGCACGCCGCCUCCAAAGCGAGACUCGCCCUGGCCAGACGCCAGAAGGUAGCACCUGACUCAGCACUCACUCAACCCCAGCCCUGAGCUGGCCACUCCCUCUGCUUGGAGCUAUAUAUUUCAUCAGGAUAAAAAUGAAACUGGACGCUUGAUCUGUGGUUGCCACUCCUGCUGCCACCGUUCCCACCACCGAUGGACCCAGAUUCUGUCCUGGCCACACCCCUGGGAAGGCUGAGCUGCCCUGAGGCGUGCACGGAAGGUCUGGGCCAACUGCUGUGUGCCCGUGGACUGUGCUGGACCACUGCCAUCCACACGCGGGCUGCUACCUGGUGCAUCAUCCGUGUGCGUAUUGCAUUGGAUCAUCACAAAACACAAAUUCAAAGAUAGACAUGGAUGAAGAAUCUCCAGACAGUCAUAGAAGAACAUAAACCCAAGCACAGAGUCCUCCACCUGGGCCCUUUGUAACUGUGGGCUCUGCCUCAUAGCAACCAUAAUUCCUGGUUUUCCACCCACUAGUGGUUUGGACUGGAGUGGUUAAUGCACUUUUUAUUGCCAA